rnacentral:rRNA from 1 species
AAGUCGUAACAAGGUUUCCGUAGGUGAACCUGCGGAAGGAUCAUUGUCGAAUCCUGCUCUAGCGGAAUGACCCGUUAACUCGUUAAAACAUCGGGCAAGCAUCAAGGGGACCAAGGUCCCCUCUUUGCGACCCCAGGGUAGUUGUCCCCUCACGGGCGUCAACAAGCCAACUAAAUCAAUCGGGCGCUGGAUGCGCCAAGGAAAUUAAUAUUGAAUUGAUUGUUUGCUUCUCGUUCGCGGGCAGCGGCGUCAGUCUGAAACACAAAUGACUCUCGGCAACGGAUAUCCCGGCUCUCGCAUCGAUGAAGAACGUAGCGAAAUGCGAUACUUGGUGUGAAUUGCAGAAUCCCGUGAACCAUUGAGUCUUUGAACGCAAGUUGCGCCCGAGGCCACUAGGCUAAGGGCACGUCUGCCUGGGUGUCACGCAUCCUGUUGCCCCUGACCAAACUAAUCUUUUAAGAGAUUUUGUCGGUUUGGGGGCGGACAUUGGCCUCCUGUGCCCUGUUGUGCGGCUGGCGCAAAAAUAAUUCUAUGGUGACGAAUGUCGCGACAUCGGUGGUUGUAAGAAGACCUUCUUGUCUUGUCGUGUGAAUGUUCGUCAUCUUAGAACGAUCAAUAACCCUUAGGCGCCAAAAAAAUUUGGCGCUUCGAUUGUGACCCCAGGUCAGGCGGGAUU